AAAAGCUGCAAAAGAAUAGCAAAUAAACUGUUCAAUUUUCUGGUAUAGAAAUCAAUUCAAAGAACAAGUCGAAAUUUUACACCAUUCGAAGAUAUUUGUACCACCAUAAGCACGAAAAUACAUCCUUAUCUGAAAUAUUACGUGAUACAGCAUAACACCCAACUAACCAAAAUGGAAUAAUGGACUCUUCUGUCCUGAACGAGUGUUGAGGGUUCUGCAAAUCCUUCCUAAACAACCUUCACAGAUGAUUUGUUUAACCUGAUCAAAUGCUUGCGCUGCACAUCAGCUCGUUCCCUCGUUCGAAACGACAAUGCAGGUGCACAAUGUGCCACACGUCAGGUGUCAAAGGGAUCGCGGAGUAACGUGAAAACCGAAGUGGUUUCACCGAGAACACAACGCAGCAUUAAAAACACGAUCCGGGCCUCAAAAACAGGAUGUUGCAAGCAUGAACGCAACAUCCAAACUGCUAGGCCAGAAGUCGAAUAAAUAUGUGCGAAAAUAAAAUUUAUUAAAAUAUCUAAAACGGAUGUCACCAAUAUUUUCAAGAUAUUUUCGAAAAAAACAAAUUUCGAAACUUCUUAAUGACUCAAUUACCGUCCUAAAUCUACGCUGCUUUUCCUUAACACACACGGUAUGUAGAGCUAUGAAUCCGAUAUGAGUGAAAAAGAAAACAACAACAACAUGCAAGUACCGUUAACAGCUUUAUUCUGAAACACCUUUUCACGAACCAGCGAGGGAGUUGUUUAAGCUGCUAGAAGUAGAAGCCAAAGCUCUUCCAUUUCACUCCCUGCAAUCAUUGAAAAGAAAGAGUUUAUUGGAUAGUGUAACUGUGAAUAGAGAAAAGAAAAAGACGAGUUAGUCACAGCGGAAAGCCUACCAACAAUAUAAAAAGAAACCCGGACUCUGUCAGUUAUGAUGACGAGUGUUCCAGUUGAUCCGACCAACGUAGCAGACCCGCGUAUCCUUCACGUAGUUCUUAAGGAGACACAGAAUAUGACAAGGCCGGUCCUUUGAAUUACAGGUACAUCACAUAUUUGUGAGUUUGAGUUGACUGGAGCAACGUGAAAGGAAAUGUCACAACGCGCGGCCAGGAAUCGAACUUACAAACUUUCGAUUGUGAACCGAAUACUUUUACCACUAAGCCACACGCCUUCACAGGAUUACACAUACACACCCACACGACAUACACAGACGCACGCGCGCGUGUGUGUGUCGUUAUCGUGAAGACAAGAGGGAAAAAGGACUUAUGGGCCGGAUUUUUCUGUUCGUAUCUGAAAUAACUAUUCUAAUAAACGAAUUGUCAGUGUUGCAAUUA